GACGAACGCUGGCGGCGUGCCUAAUACAUGCAAGUAGAACGCUGAAGGAGGAGCUUGCUUCUCUGGAUGAGUUGCGAACGGGUGAGUAACGCGUAGGUAACCUGCCUGGUAGCGGGGGAUAACUAUUGGAAACGAUAGCUAAUACCGCAUAAUAUUGACUAUUGCAUGAUAGUCAGUUGAAAGGUGCAACUGCACCACUACCAGAUGGACCUGCGUUGUAUUAGCUAGUUGGUGGGGUAACGGCUCACCAAGGCGACGAUACAUAGCCGACCUGAGAGGGUGAUCGGCCACACUGGGACUGAGACACGGCCCAGACUCCUACGGGAGGCAGCAGUAGGGAAUCUUCGGCAAUGGACGGGAGUCUGACCGAGCAACGCCGCGUGAGUGAAGAAGGUUUUCGGAUCGUAAAGCUCUGUUGUAAGAGAAGAACGAGUGUGAGAGUGGAAAGCUCACACUGUGACGGUAUCUUACCAGAAAGGGACGGCUAACUACGUG
rnacentral:rRNA from 1 species